rnacentral:rRNA from 1 species
UAGUAAUCGCAGAUCAGCAUGCUGCGGUGAAUACGUCCCCGGGCCUUGUACACACCGCCCGUCACACCAUGGGAGUCGGUAACACCCAAAGUUGGUAGCCUAACCGCAAGGAGGGCGCCGCCUAAGGUGGGAUUGAUGACUGGGGUGAAGUCGUAACAAGGUACC